CUUGUUUUUUGUUUUUUUUUUUUGUUUUUGCUUUUUUUAUUGUUUUCAAGUUUUUUUAAUUAAUGUUUGUAAUUCGUUGUUGCCAUAUUUUGUUUUUCUCUUAUAGCCUUUAAAACAUGGCGUUUUACAUAAUUCCGAAUGUAUCGUUGCGGUGUGUUUAUUUUUAUUAACGUUCCAAUAUAAAUUCACUCAAAAAACGAGUCAUCAAAGCACGACCCUACAAGCUUUCCAAGCUGCUUCAAGGUUUUACUUUUCUUAUUUUUUUUCCUCUUACAGCCGUUAAACUAUAAUAUUAACUCUCUAUUAUUUAUCAAAUUUGCUCACCUCACACAUUUACUAUUCAAUUUUUAUUUCUUUUUAUUGGUCAUCACUUCCUUACAUCCCUAGGUGAUUGGUCCAUGAUGUCUCCCACUUCUAACUCCUUUUUUAAGCUAUGAACUAACUCCAAUGCAAUAAAUUCUAUUUUGAUAAGUUGAUUAUGAAUUUGUGAACACGAUUUUAAAUUUUAAAUGUGUUGUAUAUGUCAAACAAAAUAAAAAAUAACAGUUAAAUAUGGUUAAACAUUUUAUAACUUUUUUCUCCACCAGUCGUUAUAUACUGGCCAUAAGUCAGUCGAGUUAGUUAUUGUUUUCUAUGUUUUACGCUUUAGUCUAUUCUAUGUAAAUUAACAUGCCGUAACGUGUUUGUGUCAAUUAACGUUUUUACGUUACUUUUUGUUCGGUUUAACGGUCCCGUCACAUCAUGCAUGUCCUAAAUACCAGUUUGUAUAAUUCGGGAUUAGAAAAAAUCUUACGAAUGAUAAAUUGUGGGCUCUUUAUGUUUUAACAGCCCACGGAGCAUAACAUGAGCUUAGAGCCUUAAGAGUUCCGAUAUUGGGCUUUUAUAUUUUCUUUUAUUUUAUUUAUUUUUUCAACGGCUGGCUUUUAGAUCUAGAUCUAGAUCUAUUUGCUUUCGCCUGUAUUUGUAUUAAACGGUCCCUUGGUGAGAACAAGAACAUCGUUGAGAUCGAGCCGCCGCCAUCCGUCGUAACUUCAGUGGCGGCGGCGGAUGAUCAAGAAGAUACCGCAUGGUAAAUUCCUUCAUUUUUAGUUUCUGGGAUCAAGUUUGAUUGUAUUUCCGGCACCUUAAUUGGAUGGGCUAUGUGUCGGAUGCUUGCGUUAUGCACAAUACUUUGAAAAUAAUAAUAGAUGAACUUGUUACGACACAAAUACAGUAACAAUAUGAAUCCAAUAGGAUUGUUCUUCGAAAUUUGUUUUUCUUUGUGCAAAGCAUCAAAGACAGUGAUUUGAAAACUGCAAAAGACAUAACGAAGAGUUUGUAAGGUUUGUCAUCAAUAAAAAUUGUGAAGCAAAAACUUUAUGUUGCAGAGUCCAAAAUGUAAGGCUAUGUUCAUGGCAAGUCUCAUGAACGUGAUUUUCCACGAACAUGGGCUUUCAUUUGGACACUGCAACAUGAAGUGUUGUUUCACACUUUUUGUUGAUACUAAACCUUAUGAUCUCUUUGUUUCGGUCUAAAAUGUCUUUUGCAGUUUUCCAGUCACAUGUCUUUGAUGCUUUGGAGAGUGGAAAACAAAUUUCAAGGGUUAUUUGUUGUUACUCUAUUUUUAUCGUAACAAGUUCACUUUCGUUUUCAAAGUAGUGUCCGAUUUAGAGGUGACAACAUACCAAUGCAAAUGGCCUCUCUAGAUGCAAAGCUCAAGAAUUGGUGCCCAUGACUUGAAAAUAUUGAAUCAGAAUGAUGUUUUAUGUUUAACUUGGGUCCUAUAGGGAUGUUUUAUGUACUUGAAUUUUAUUUUCUGACUUAUUUGGCUUGCAAUGUUCCUACAAGACAUAACAUAUCUUUUUGGACAAUUAUGAAUUCCCUUAAAUUCCUUCUAUAUAAUCAAA